UGGUGGAGUGAUUUGUCUGGUUAAUUCCGUUAACGAACGAGACCCCUGCCUGCUAAAUAGCCUUUUGAGUGUUUUUCACUUUGGAGGGCUUCUUAGAGGGCGUGCAUUUGAUCAGUUGCAGGAAGAGAGGGGCUAUAACA
rnacentral:rRNA from 1 species